rnacentral:rRNA from 1 species
UUAAGCGACUAAGCGUACACGGUGGAUGCCCUGGCAGUCAGAGGCGAUGAAGGACGUGCUAAUCUGCGAUAAGCGUCGGUAAGGUGAUAUGAACCGUUAUAACCGGCGAUUUCCGAAUGGGGAAACCCAGUGUGUUUCGACACACUAUCAUUAACUGAAUCCAUAGGUUAAUGAGGCGAACCGGGGGAACUGAAACAUCUAAGUACCCCGAGGAAAAGAAAUCAACCGAGAUUCCCCCAGUAGCGGCGAGCGAACGGGGAGCAGCCCAGAGCCUGAAUCAGUGUGUGUGUUAGUGGAAGCGUCUGGAAAGGCGCGCGAUACAGGGUGACAGCCCCGUACACAAAAAUGCACAUGCUGUGAGCUCGAUGAGUAGGGCGGGACACGUGGUAUCCUGUCUGAAUAUGGGGGGACCAUCCUCCAAGGCUAAAUACUCCUGACUGACCGAUAGUGAACCAGUACCGUGAGGGAAAGGCGAAAAGAACCCCGGCGAGGGGAGUGAAAAAGAACCUGAAACCGUGUACGUACAAGCAGUGGGAGCACGCUUAGGCGUGUGACUGCGUACCUUUUGUAUAAUGGGUCAGCGACUUAUAUUCUGUAGCAAGGUUAACCGAAUAGGGGAGCCGAAGGGAAACCGAGUCUUAACUGGGCGUUAAGUUGCAGGGUAUAGACCCGAAACCCGGUGAUUCAGCCAUGGGCAGGUUGAAGGUUGGGUAACACUAACUGGAGGACCGAACCGACUAAUGUUGAAAAAUUAGCGGAUGACUUGUGGCUGGGGGUGAAAGGCCAAUCAAACCGGGAGAUAGCUGGUUCUCCCCGAAAGCUAUUUAGGUAGCGCCUCGUGAAUUCAUCUCCGGGGGUAGAGCACUGUUUCGGCAAGGGGGUCAUCCCGACUUACCAACCCGAUGCAAACUGCGAAUACCGGAGAAUGUUAUCACGGGAGACACACGGCGGGUGCUAACGUCCGUCGUGAAGAGGGAAACAACCCAGACCGCCAGCUAAGGUCCCAAAGUCAUGGUUAAGUGGGAAACGAUGUGGGAAGGCCCAGACAGCCAGGAUGUUGGCUUAGAAGCAGCCAUCAUUUAAAGAAAGCGUAAUAGCUCACUGGUCGAGUCGGCCUGCGCGGAAGAUGUAACGGGGCUAAACCAUGCACCGAAGCUGCGGCAGCGACGCUUAUGCGUUGUUGGGUAGGGGAGCGUUCUGUAAGCCUGCGAAGGUGUGCUGUGAGGCAUGCUGGAGGUAUCAGAAGUGCGAAUGCUGACAUAAGUAACGAUAAAGCGGGUGAAAAGCCCGCUCGCCGGAAGACCAAGGGUUCCUGUCCAACGUUAAUCGGGGCAGGGUGAGUCGACCCCUAAGGCGAGGCCGAAAGGCGUAGUCGAUGGGAAACAGGUUAAUAUUCCUGUACUUGGUGUUACUGCGAAGGGGGGACGGAGAAGGCUAUGUUGGCCGGGCGACGGUUGUCCCGGUUUAAGCGUGUAGGCUGGUUUUCCAGGCAAAUCCGGAAAACUAAGGCUGAGGCGUGAUGACGAGGCACUACGGUGCUGAAGCAACAAAUGCCCUGCUUCCAGGAAAAGCCUCUAAGCAUCAGGUAACAUCAAAUCGUACCCCAAACCGACACAGGUGGUCAGGUAGAGAAUACCAAGGCGCUUGAGAGAACUCGGGUGAAGGAACUAGGCAAAAUGGUGCCGUAACUUCGGGAGAAGGCACGCUGAUAUGUAGGUGAAGUCCCUCGCGGAUGGAGCUGAAAUCAGUCGAAGAUACCAGCUGGCUGCAACUGUUUAUUAAAAACACAGCACUGUGCAAACACGAAAGUGGACGUAUACGGUGUGACGCCUGCCCGGUGCCGGAAGGUUAAUUGAUGGGGUCAGCGCAAGCGAAGCUCUUGAUCGAAGCCCCGGUAAACGGCGGCCGUAACUAUAACGGUCCUAAGGUAGCGAAAUUCCUUGUCGGGUAAGUUCCGACCUGCACGAAUGGCGUAAUGAUGGCCAGGCUGUCUCCACCCGAGACUCAGUGAAAUUGAACUCGCUGUGAAGAUGCAGUGUACCCGCGGCAAGACGGAAAGACCCCGUGAACCUUUACUAUAGCUUGACACUGAACAUUGAGCCUUGAUGUGUAGGAUAGGUGGGAGGCUUUGAAGUGUGGACGCCAGUCUGCAUGGAGCCGACCUUGAAAUACCACCCUUUAAUGUUUGAUGUUCUAACGUGGACCCGUAAUCCGGGUUGCGGACAGUGUCUGGUGGGUAGUUUGACUGGGGCGGUCUCCUCCUAAAGAGUAACGGAGGAGCACGAAGGUUGGCUAAUCCUGGUCGGACAUCAGGAGGUUAGUGCAAUGGCAUAAGCCAGCUUGACUGCGAGCGUGACGGCGCGAGCAGGUGCGAAAGCAGGUCAUAGUGAUCCGGUGGUUCUGAAUGGAAGGGCCAUCGCUCAACGGAUAAAAGGUACUCCGGGGAUAACAGGCUGAUACCGCCCAAGAGUUCAUAUCGACGGCGGUGUUUGGCACCUCGAUGUCGGCUCAUCACAUCCUGGGGCUGAAGUAGGUCCCAAGGGUAUGGCUGUUCGCCAUUUAAAGUGGUACGCGAGCUGGGUUUAGAACGUCGUGAGACAGUUCGGUCCCUAUCUGCCGUGGGCGCUGGAGAACUGAGGGGGGGGCUGCUCCUAGUACGAGAGGACCGGAGUGGACGCAUCACUGGUGUUCGGGUUGUCAUGCCAAUGGCACUGCCCGGUAGCUAAAUGCGGAAGAGAUAAGUGCUGAAAGCAUCUAAGCACGAAACUUGCCCCGAGAUGAGUUCUCCCUGACUCCUUGAGAGUCCUGAAGGAACGUUGAAGACGACGACGUUGAUAGGCCGGGUGUGUAAGCGCAGCGAUGCGUUGAGCUAACCGGUACUAAUGAACCGUGAGGCUUAACCU